rnacentral:rRNA from 1 species
GUCGAGAAUCUUCCGCAAUGCGCGAAAGCGUGACGGAGCGACACCGCGUGAUGGAUGAAGUCCUUCGGGGCGUAAACAUCUUUUAUAAAGGAGGAAAUUUUUGACGUUACUUUAUGAAUAAGGGGCUCCCAAUCUCGUGCCAGCAGGAGCGGUAAUACGAGAGCCUCAAGCGUUAUCCGGAAUCAUUGGGCGUAAAGGGUGCGUAGGUGGUUUGAUUAGUCUCCCGUUAAAACUUCGAGCUUAACUCGAAAAGAGCGGGGGAAACGGUCAAACUAGAGUAUGAGAGAGGUGUGUGGAACUCAUGGUGUAGGGGUGAAAUCCGUUGAUAUCAUGGGGAACACCAAAAGCGAAGGCAGCACACUGGCACAUCACUGACACUGAGGCACGAAACCUAAGGUAGCGAAUGGGAUUAGAUACCCCUGUAGUCC